rnacentral:sRNA from 1 species
UAAUCUUAGUGUUAAAUUUACUUGCGUGAAAAGCGGUUGAACUAAUAACACGACUUAAGGACCCGUAGGAUGGCACGGCAUGCUUAAUCCGGUUUGUUCUCAAUGCAUUGAAAUUUAACACUUAGU